CUGAGAGAUCACAUCUCCACCAUACACAAAAAGCAGAAAGUAAACUGGAAGUAGGGUAAGGUUAUUAACUGCCCCUAGUCAUGUAAUUCCCCAGCAAGACUUCUUGUACUAAAAGUUCUGCAACCUGGGGACCAACUGCUCAAAUACAUAAAGACUUUUUUUUUUAAAUCAAUCUUCAUUCUUCUCAUGAUCCCUAUAAGCCCAUAGCCAUGUCAUGCAAAAUGCAAUUAAUCCAAUAUCAAAAAUCACCAUAGUCAUUCCUUCUCUGAAGUCCAAAGUCUCUUCUAAGACUCAAUGCAGUCUCUUGUGUCCCUGAGUAAAUCAAAAAACCAGUUACAUACUUCCAACAUACAAUGGCACAGAAUAUGCGUUCCCAUUCCAAAAGGAAGGAAUGAUGGGCAUAGUGAGGAAAUACUGAACCAAAGCAAGACAGAAACCAGCAAAUUCUGCAGCUGCAUGUCCACUAUCUACGGGUUUGGUUUCAAAGGAAUUAGUUGACUGCCCCUCCAGCAUUGCUGCCUGCAUCAUAGAUAUUUUUCUGCAUUGUUCUGUUCUGUGUGCAACCCUCCUUGGCAAGAUGUUUCACAGCUUUGGUAUGUCCAGUGUCUUUGGGCCUGCACUACAACCCAGCUCCAUGUGUCCUCUCAUGGCCUUCUUGCAGAAACUCCAUCUCUACCAUAUGCUGCUUGGCCUCUAGCUUCCUGAAGCAAAGAAGGAAGAAUCCAGAAUCCGUUCAUUCUUUUAUGCCUCCAAAGCUAAUAUCAUGAGGAAAAUACUUGAUCAUAUCCACAGCAGCUCUUGUGUUAUGUUGUUUCUAGGAGCAAACAGCCAGUAUAUUAGGCUGUCUUUCAUAGAUUGGAGGUUUAUCUGGGUGGAGUCUUGCCUUAGCCAGCUGUCCCACUGUUCUAGUGUAGAGCAGACUUCUCUUUUUUUUUCCUUAAAUAUAUGUGUAUAUAUAUGCAUGCAUGCAUGCUCUAUCUGGAUAUAUGCCUGAAUUCCAGAAGAGGGCAUCAGAUCCCAUUAUAGAUAGUUGUGAGCCACCAAGUGGUAACACAAAAAAACACAAUCAGUGACCCAGAGACAGAUAUGAGAGUUCAGCCUAAAGAUCAGGGAAGCAAAGCAGCCAAGCUGCCAGAAAGCUCUUACCUCUAAAAGGGCUGAGGCGUUCCUAUUCUCAAUGUGGAUGGAGAAUGAAUGCCUUAUACUAACACCUUGCUCUUGUCUUAUAUACCUCCCUAAUGCUGGGAAUAAAGGCAUGUGAUCCCAGGUGCUGAGAUCAUCUUUGUGAGAGCUGUUUCUCUUUAGGAAUGGAUCAGUCUUGCAUAGAUCUAGGUGACCUUGGAUUCACAGAGAUCAGUCUACCUCUUAAUCCUGAGUGUGUACUACCACCUCCUAGCUUCUGACUGCUAGGAUUAAAGGUUGCUGGAGAAACAGGAAUGUGGAGUCUGCCUUCUAUUCUACAUGGAAAUGCUUUGAAAAUGUACAAGGCUCUUCUAAGAAAUGGAAGAAUUAUGCUGCAGUGUGGAGCUGGCUCCUGCUAAUGCAUAGUGGUGACUCUAUCGUGCACGUUUUAUUGACAGCUAGUUUGUAGUAAUGAAGGUAUGUCAGUCUGUCAUGCGGAGGCAUAGAUGUCUUAGCACAGAGCAAGGGUUUUACAUUAUCUAAUUAGAAAAAAAAAAACAGCUAUGAAGUUCUGGUUUUAGAUUAAACAUUUACACUGAAUUUAAAACAAAAAGACCUUAAAUCAUGAAACUUUGUAAAGGGCGCAACAUGUAGUAACUGUCAGUCAUUUCCCUGUUUUUAAUGAAAUAAUUGUAAGUACAGCCAAGCAGAGUUUAUUGAAAAGAAAGAAGUAGCUCCCUGUAACCUGGAGGGGAUUAAAACUAAAUUUCCUUUAAAUAAAGUAGUUUUAUACAGA
ensembl:lncRNA